rnacentral:rRNA from 1 species
UACGUAGGGGGCAAGCGUUGUCCGGAAUCAUUGGGCGUAAAGCGCGUGUAGGCGGCUUGGUAAGUCCGCUCUGAAAGCCCGGGGCUCAACCCCGGGAGGCGGGUGGAUACUGCUGAGCUCGAGUCCGGAAGAGGCGAGUGGAAUUCCUGGUGUAGCGGUGAAAUGCGCAGAUAUCAGGAGGAACACCGAUGGCGAAGGCGGCAUCCUGGACCGGCAUUGACGCUGAGGAGCGAAAGCCAGGGGAGCAAACGGG